rnacentral:rRNA from 1 species
UACGUAGGGGGGCAAGCGUUGUCCGGAUUUAUUGGGCGUAAAGAGCUCGUAGGCGGUUUCGUAAGUCGGGUGUGAAAACUCUGGGCUCAACCCAGAGACGCCACCCGAUACUGCGAUGACUAGAGUCUGGUAGGGGGUCGUGGAAUUCCUGGUGUAGCGGUGAAAUGCGCAGAUAUCAGGAGGAACACCAGCGGCGAAGGCGGCGAUCUGGGCCAGUACUGACGCUGAGGAGCGAAAGCGUGGGGAGCGAACAGG